UGCCACGACACAAGCUCUGAGGAGAGACAAGCCCCCACCACAAGAAACAGCAACUGUGUCCAGGAGUAUGUAAGGUUGGGAAAUAGAGACAAGUGAAGCAGCCAACUUGGACCCGCAAGUGGGACCAAGUAUGGAGCAUGGCAGGGCUUGCUUCCAGGAUCCCUGAAUGACACUGUGGGGCAAAGCUACCGACCCUCCAUGGACUGCCAGCUACCUCUGAACAGUGAUGCAGAAAAAAAAAAAUGCAUCUUAGGGGAGGGAUGAUGAACACAUCUGCACUUUGGAAAGAAUUACAGUGGUGAUGUGAAGACACAGUUGGAAAGCAGCAAAAGUAGGAGGGAAAGAAAUUGGCAUCUCGAAGUAACUUUAGAAGAACAGAAAUCAACUUGGCUGAAUUUCUUGGUUGAAAUCUGUAAGUAGCAAU
rnacentral:lncRNA from 1 species